CCGUCACGUGCCUCGGCUUGACGUGACGAUCCAAUACCUUCUAAGCCUGACUAGAGUCGUCUAACAUCAUUUCGAGAGCCUAGACCAUAGCAUCUACCCUUGUGUGUCCCCCCUACCACUUUUUAUUUCCAAAUCUGGGUGGACAAUUCAGGUGUCAAUUGGACCGAACUAUCUAGAUUCUCAGCGACGUACUGAUGAAAUUCAUU
rnacentral:lncRNA from 1 species